rnacentral:rRNA from 1 species
CCUUAGAGUUUGAUCCUGGCUCAAGUGAACGCUGGCGGCGUGCCUAAUACAUGCAAGUCGAACGUGAAAGUCCUUCGGGAUGAGUAAAGUGGCGCACGGGUGAGUAAUACAUGGGAACAUGCCCUUGAAUGGGGAAUAACUGUUGGAAACGACAGCUAAUACCGCAUAAUCUCGCGAGAGUAAAGGUGGCGCCGCAAGGGCUACCGUUCAAGGAUUGGCCCAUGUCCCAUUAGCUAGUUGGCGGGGUAAUGGCCCACCAAGGCAACGAUGGGUAACUGGUCUGAGAGGAUGAUCAGUCACACUGGAACUGAGACACGGUCCAGACUCCUACGGGAGGCAGCAGUCGGGAAUUUUGGGCAAUGGGCGAAAGCCUGACCCAGCAACGCCGCGUGAAGGAUGAAAUCCCUCGGGAUGUAAACUUCGCAAGAACAGGAAGAAUAAGUUUGUGCCAACACCACAAGCGAUGACGGUACUGUUUGUAAGCUCCGGCUAACUCCGUGCCAGCAGCCGCGGUAAUACGGGGGGAGCAAGCGUUGUUCGGAUUUACUGGGCGUAAAGGGCGCGUAGGCGGCCACCGCAAGUCAGUUGUGAAAUCUCUGGGCUUAACCCAGAAAGGUCAACUGAUACUGCGGGGCUAGAGUGCAGAAGGGGCAACUGGAAUUCUCGGUGUAGCGGUGAAAUGCGUAGAUAUCGAGAGGAACACCUGCGGCGAAGGCGGGUUGCUGGGCUGACACUGACGCUGAGGCGCGAAAGCUAGGGGAGCGAACGGGAUUAGAUACCCCGGUAGUCCUAGCCUUAAA